GACGAACGCUGGCGGCGUGCUUAACACAUGCAAGUCGAACGGAAAGGCCCUGCUUUUGUGGGGUGCUCGAGUGGCGAACGGGUGAAUAACACGUGCGUAACCUGCCCUUGACUUUGGGAUAACUUCAGGAAACUGGGGCUAAUACCGGAUAGGAGCUCCUGCUGCAUGGUGGGGGUUGGAAAGUUUCGGCGGUUGGGGAUGGACUCGCGGCUUAUCAGCUUGUUGGUGGGGUAGUGGCUUACCAAGGCUUUGACGGGUAGCCGGCCUGAGAGGGUGACCGGCCACAUUGGGACUGAGAUACGGCCCAGACUCCUACGGGAGGCAGCAGUGGGGAAUAUUGCACAAUGGGCGGAAGCCUGAUGCAGCAACGCCGCGUGCGGGAUGACGGCCUUCGGGUUGUAAACCGCUUUCGCCUGUGACGAAGCGUGAGUGACGGUAAUGGGUAAAGAAGCACCGGCUAACUACGUG
rnacentral:rRNA from 1 species